rnacentral:rRNA from 1 species
AGUGAACGCUGGCGGCGUGCCUAAUACAUGCAAGUCGAACGAAGUGUCUCACGGGUUUCUAAUUUAUAGUUUAUCUGCCCUACACCGAUGAACAACAGUUGGAAACGCCUGCUAAUACCUCCUAGUGUAGGAUGAGACUAUAUCGUAUCAGCUAGUUGGUAAGGUAAUGGCUUACCAAGGCUAUGACGCGUAACUGGUCUGAGAGGAUGAUCAGUCAAAUUGGAACUGAGACACGGUCCAAACGCCGACGGGAGGCAGCAGUAAGGAAUAUUGCGCAAUGGGGGAAACCCUGAGGCAGCAACGCAGCGUGGAGGAUGACACUUGUCGGAGCGUAAACUCCUUUUAUCAGGAAAGCGGUAACUGAAGAAGAAGCAAAGGCUAACUCCGUGCCAGCAGCCGCGGUAAUAA